UACGUAGGGGGCAAGCGUUGUCCGGAAUUAUUGGGCGUAAAGAGCGCGUAGGCGGUCCGAUAAGUCGGCUGUGAAAGUCAGGGGCUCAACCCUUGAAAGCCGGCCGAUACUGUCGGACUAGAGUCCGGAAGAGGCAAGUGGAAUUCCCGGUGUAGCGGUGAAAUGCGCAGAUAUCAGGAGGAACACCGAUGGCGAAGGAAGAUCUCUGGGCCGUAACUGACGCUGAGGAGCGAAAGCAUGGGGAGAGAACAGG
rnacentral:rRNA from 1 species